GGAGCGUUGGGGAGAGAGAGAGAGAAAGCAGGCACCGGUCACUCCGGAACCGGUCUAGGCACCCCGGAAGCGGCACCCAAACAACGCCGGCCCGAAAGAGGAAGAGGAGAAGAUGCAGAAAAUAACAGUCUGAAAGAGAACGUCCUUACUGAAGUCCCCUAGCCAGGAAGCAGCAGGGCCUGGAUUGAAACGCAAGCCUGUCUCACCCUAGAGCAAGCCCACAUUUUUUCCCCUGGUGGCGGGCAGCCUGCCUGGUGGUGAGUCAGUGGUGCAGACAAGCACCCAGAAACCUGCCUUUUCUCCUUAGUGGCAUGAUUGUGUGGAUGUGCCAUGCCCUAACCAUUUCCGUAUUGAUAAACAUUUAGGCUGUUACUGAACUUUGGCUCUUACAAGCAUUUGCUGCGGUUACUAACCUUGUACAUCUGAUUGCAUGUGUGUGAUAGGAUUAUCAGUAAUAUCUUGUUUGAAGUGGAAUUGCAGGGUCAAAGGGUCCACGCUUGGGAAUGUUGAGAGCCAUGGCCACUUGAUAUAUUCAUUUCUCUGUUGACUUCGGUGUUCAUUGUAUUCAUUCAUAUGUUGACUGAAUUCUGGAACUCUAGUCAGCUGCCAGGCAUGGCUGUAGGCUGGAGAUCCUACAGGGAAAUAGGCCAGAGCACUUGCCCUCUAGGAGCAGAUAUUCCAGUGAAGCAGAUGAUGUCAGGUAAAAGAUGAGUGGAAGGAGAAGUCAGGAUAAGGAAAUUUCGAGUGACGGAGGUCAGAGGUGGUCAGGGAAGGCUCUCUGAGGAGAUGACAUUUGAGCCUGAACAAAGUUAAGGAACUGAACUGUGUGAAGAUGCUGAAAAGCCGUGGAAAGAAGUGGAGUGGAGCUGGUGUUCGAAGAUUGUCAAGGUGACCCGAGUGGCUGGAGCAGAGCGAGGGGAAGAGAGAAAGCAUUAUUUAGGAAUGAAGCUAUCGAGAGGGGCCAGGUUACAUAGGGUCUUGAGGCCACGGGAAGGGCUUUGGAAGUUACUUGCCGGGUGUAACAGGAAGCCGUUGGAGAGCUGUGAGCAAGGCCCAGCAUGUUGAGAUGUGUGUUUUAUAAACAUCUCUAUGGUGAACACCCUGAAUUAAUGACUGUGGUUGCUUCUGGGGGUGAAGGUUCUAGACAGAUACGGAACAGAGCUGUGAGGACGAGUGUUGAAGACUUCUGCUUUUUUGAGCAAUGUGACUGUUGUCUGUGCACAGAAAAGUUAAAGUAUUAAAGCAGCGCCAGUUGCUGUGAAGAGGAUGGCCUGCAGCUGGGCAGGCGUGGACACAGGUGAUGAGGAAGCCCAUGUCCCUGCCUGGAUGGGAGAUGAUGGUGACUCAGAAAGAGGGUUGUGUGAGAGGAUCCAUGAAUCAGGGAUGACUUAAAAGUUAUUCUAAAGGUUUUGGGCUUGACCAACUGGAUGAAGGGUGAUGCUUUUUUACGAAGAUGUGGAGGAGUCCUCUACGUGGGAAAUCGACAAGCUUUGAACCUGCUGACUCUGAGAUGCUCGCUGGACAUCGAGUAAGGGGCGGCAGUUAGGAGAGAAACCAGGGUUGUAGACUGAAAAUUUUUUCCUGACUUUUCAUUGUGAAAUUUUAUUUUAUUUAUUUUCAAUUUUUUAAAAUGUUUUAUUAUUUGAGAGAGAGAGAGAGUGAGUGGGGGGAGUGGGCAGAGAGAGAGGGAGACACAGAAACUGGAGGAGGCUCCAAGCUGUCAGCACAGAGCCUGACUCUGUGGGGCUCAAACUCAUGAACCACGAGAUCUGACCUGAGCGGAAGUCAAACGCUUAACUGCCUGAGUCACCCAGGUGCCCCUCGGGCGUUUUUAAGGUGGGAGAAACUAUGGCAGGUUUGUUUGCCAUCAGGAGUGCUAGAGGGAAAAUGGACAUGGAGACUUAGGAACCUGUCCUCAAGCAGGUAAUGGGGGUGGUGCUGACAGUGUACAGGGGAGAGACGGAUUGGCCUUGAAUCAAAGAGGGGCCAGCUCUUCCUGGUAAAAGAAAGUCAUACCAUCUGACAUUCCCUCUGGAUUGUGAAAACCGCUCUUGUUCCUUCUGUGUUGGUAGUUACUGUGCACAGCAUAAAAGCUCAAGCAAGGUCUUUGGACUGCAGUCUGGCAUUGAUGUAAAUGGUAGGGCUUCCUUUAUGAACCAUAGUGAAGAACUGGACAGAUGGUCGUGAUGUUUGUUCUAAGUGGCUGGGGCCAGAGGGAGAGGACGGUGGUGGGCAGUUACAGCAAGGGAUGCUGGGGAAGGAUGGGGAGCCCCCUGGCAGGAGCAGCUGUGACACUGCGAUUUAUAAUAAUCUAUGUGGUCUUUGCUCCUUUUCUGGCUCAUAGCACCUAAAACCCUUGGAAUUUUGUGCGGUGAGAGCAGAGGUGUCUUUUGUUAUGUUAACGAGGUGGCUUUUGGAAAACACCUAGGUAACCUAGAGCUGGGGGCUUGUUGCCAGGGCCCCAACCUUGUAGAGGUUGAAAUAGCCGGUCUGACCCUUGGCCUUCUGGAAAGGGAGAAGGGGUGGUUGGAGCUUGAAUCAAUCGCCAGUGGCCAAUGAUUUAAUCAGUACUGACUUUGUAAUGAAGCCUCCAUCAAAACCCAAAAGGACCAAAAAAAACCCAAAAACCAAAACCCAAAAGGACAGGGUUGAGAGAACUUCCAGGUUUUAGAGCAUGUGAAGAUUUGGGGAGAGUGGGGCCCCUGGAGAAGGCAUGGUAGCUCCCACCCUUCCCCAUACCUUGCCUGUGUGUCUCAUCCAUCUUCCUGUUCCUGAGUUUUAUUCUGGUUUAUAAUAAUUACUUAUUUACAAUAACCAGGAAUCCAGUAAGUAAAAUGUUUUUCUUGGAGUUCUGUGAGCUGCUAUAGCAGAUGACUUGAACUCAAGGGGGUGUUUGUUGGAACCUGUGCUCUGUAGCUGAUUGGUCCAGAAGCACAGAUGAUAACCUGGACUUGCCACUGGCUUCUGAAGGUUGUGCGGGGGUGGGGGGUGCGGUCUUGUAGGACUGAGCUCUUAAUCUCUGGAAUCUGAUGCUGUCUCCAGGAAGACAGUGUCAGAAUUGAGUUGAAGUAUAGGACAUCCAGCUGGUGUCUGAGAAUUGCUUGGUGGGGGUGGGGGGGGGGGGACCCACAGACUGGAAUUGGGUGUGGGGUCAUUAGCAGCCAGGGUGGGGUGGGAGGAGGCUGAAGGGGGUUGUGGAGCCUGAAGAGCCCCCAAGGUGAGGCCUAUGGGUGUAUUAACACAGUGGAACACUAUUCUGCAAUGAAAAAGAGUGAGCGACAUGGAUGGAUCUCAUAGCCACCAUGCAGACUCUAAGAAAUCGGUCCACACUAGCAUGUAGAGCAGGGCUGCUUUCAAAGUUGGGCAAAAGAGGUCAGGACAGUGGUUACUGGGGAUGGAGUUGGGUAUUGGCUGGGAGGAACAUGAGAACCUUUAGAGGGCUGGAAACUUCUAGCUUGAUCUGAGUGGUGGCUGCUCCGGUGAAUAAAUUGGCAAAAAUUCAAUGAGA